GGGGAAUCUUGCGCAAUGGGGGAAACCCUGACGCAGCGACGCCGCGUGAGUGAUGAAGGCCUUCGGGUUGUAAAGCUCUGUGGAGAGGGACGAAUAAGUGUGGUCGAAUAGGCCGCAUGAUGACGGUACCUUUUUAGCAAGCACCGGCUAACUCUGUGCCAGCAGCCGCGGUAAGACAGAGGGUGCAAACGUUGUUCGGAAUUACUGGGCGUAAAGCGCGUGUAGGCUGCUUGGAAAGUCGGAUGUGAAAGCCCUGGGCUCAACCUAGGAAGUGCAUUCGAAACUUCCAAGCUGGAGUUUCGGAGAGGAAGGCGGAAUUCUCGGUGUAGAGGUGAAAUUCGUAGAUAUCGAGAGGAACAUCGGUGGCGAAGGCGGCCUUCUGGACGAUGACUGACGCUGAGACGCGAAAGCGUGGGGAGCAAAC
rnacentral:rRNA from 1 species